GCCCCUUUUGUGAUAUUUCAAGAUGAAAAUGAUCAACAAAAUCGAGCUGUGUAAGCACAUUCUACUGAAACAUUAUGCAAAUAUAUACAUUUCGAAGUUUACGUUGAAACAUGCACCUGUAUUCGCAGGGGGAUCGUCGCCAGUAAUAAAUCUCGGCCGCCGCUGGCCUUGGUGGAAAUCCCUGUGUCGAAAUCAUCUCGGAAUGACGGCCCGGCAGGCGCCGAAUCGAUGACUGAUGAAACGGCAAUGUGGGGGGCGUGUUCGAAAUCGCUCGCUGCCUGUCCCAACAGCACCAGGGAUUUUUCAAUGCUGGCCAACCUGGUCUCCACGCCCUUCCACCCCAGCGCUCCUCACUCAUGGGACCUGAAACCAGAAAAUGAUGCACCAAGGACAUUUGGUGAUUCUGAGGAAAACCCUUUCAUGCGACAACCAACCAAACUCAGGUGCUUCUUCUCUGCUUCUGGAAAAGAUAUUGCUCAUGGAUUUUGUAUUUAAUUGAUUUUAUUUCAUUUUUUUCCUGCAGCCCGAUCAUUGAGCAGAGCCCAUCAGAAGAGAAGG
ensembl:lncRNA